rnacentral:rRNA from 1 species
GCAUAUCAAUAGCGGAGGAAAAGAAACCAACAGGGAUUGCCUCAGUAACGGCGAGUGAAGCGGCAACAGCUCAAAUUUGAAAUCUGGCCCUAGGCCCGAGUUGUAAUUUGCAGAGGAUGCUUUUGGUGCGGUGCCUUCCAAGUUCCCUAGAACGGGACGCCAGAGAGGGUGAGAGCCCCGUACAGUUGGACACCAAGCCUUUGUAAAGCUCCUUCGACGAGUCGAGUAGUUUGGGAAUGCUGCUCAAAAUGGGAGGUAUAUUUCUUCUAAAGCUAAAUACCGGCCAGAGACCGAUAGCGCACAAGUAGAGUGAUCGAAAGAUGAAAAGCACUUUGAAAAGAGGGUUAAACAGCACGUGAAAUUGUUAAAAGGGAAGCGCUUGUGACCAGACUUGCGUCCGGUGAAUCACCCAGCUCUCGCGGCUGGGGCACUUCGCCGGCUCAGGCCAGCAUCAGCUCGCUGUCGGGGACAAAAGCUUCGGGAACGUAGCUCUCUUCGGGGAGUGUUAUAGCCUGUUGCACAAUACCCUUCGGCGGGCUGAGGUACGCGCUCCGCAAGGAUGCUGGCAUAAUGGUCAUCAGCGACCCGUCUUGAAACACGGACCAAGGAGUCAACCUUAUGUGCGAGUGUUCGGGUGUCAAACCCCUACGCGUAAUGAAAGUGAACGCAGGUGAGAGCUUCGGCGCAUCAUCGACCGAUCCUGAUGUUCUCGGAUGGAUUUGAGUAAGAGCAUAUAGGGUUGGACCCGAAAGAAGGUGAACUAUGCGUGUAUAGGGUGAAGCCAGAGGAAACUCUGGUGGAGCCCCGCAGCGGUUCUGACGUGCAAAUCGAUCGUCAAAUAUGCGCAUGGGGGCGAAAGACUAAUCGAACCUUCUAGUAGCUGGUUUCCGCCGAAGUU